rnacentral:rRNA from 1 species
GUUAAGUCAGAUGUGAAAGCCCGGGGCUCAACCUCGGAAUUGCAUUGAAACUGGCAAACUAGAGUACUGUAGAGGGGGUAGAAUUUCAGGUGUAGCGGUGAAAUGCGUAGAGAUCUGAAGGAAUACCGGUGGCGAAGGCGGCCCCCUGGACAGAUACUGACACUCACGAUGCGAAAGCGUGGGGACGCAAACAGGAUUAGACUACCCUGGUAG